rnacentral:rRNA from 1 species
UGCAAGUCGUACGAGAAAGUCCGCUUCGGCGGAUGAGUAAAGUGGCGCACGGGUGGGUAACGCGUGGGUAAUCUACCCUUGUGACUGGGAUAACUCGCCGAAAGGCGGGCUAAUACCGGAUAUUGUCUUCAGGGCUCCGGCCUUGGAGAUGAAAGGCGGGGAUCUGCUUCGGUGGACCUGCUGCACAAGGAUGAGCCCGCGUCCCAUUAGCUAGUUGGUGGGGUAAUGGCCCACCAAGGCGACGAUGGGUAGCUGGUCUGAGAGGAUGAUCAGCCACACUGGCACUGAAACACGGGCCAGACUCCUACGGGAGGCAGCAGUGAGGAAUUUUGCGCAAUGGGGGAAACCCUGACGCAGCAACGCCGCGUGAGUGAUGAAGGCCUUCGGGUCGUAAAGCUCUGUCGGGUGGGAAGAAACGUCGGAGGGUGAAUAGCUCUUCGGCCUGACGGUACCACCAAAGGAAGCACCGGCCAACUCCGUGCCAGCAGCCGCGGUAAUACGGAGGGUGCAAGCGUUGUUCGGAAUCAUUGGGCGUAAAGGGCGCGUAGGCGGUUCGGUAAGUCGGGUGUGAAAGCCCCGGGCUCAACCCGGGAAGUGCAUCCGAAACUGCCGGAGUUGAGUACGGGAGGGGGAAGUGGAAUUCCUGGUGUAGGGGCGAAAUCCGUA